GUCCACGCCCUAAACGAUGGAUGCUCGAUGUCGGCCCGCAAGGGUCGGUGUCUCAGCUAACGCUUUAAGCAUCCCACCUGGGAAGUACGAUCGCAAGGUUGAAACUCAAAGGAAUUGACGGGGGCCCGCACAAGCAGUGGAGCAUGUGGUUUAAUUCGAUGCAACGCGAAGAACCUUACCUGGGGUUUGAAAAGCUCUGUAAAACCGGUGAAAGCCGGGUAGUGUAGCAAUACACGCGGAGUACAGGUGCUGCAUGGCUGUCGU
rnacentral:rRNA from 1 species